AGCCAGACUCCACGGGAGGCAGCAGUGGGGAAUAUUGCACAAUGGGGGAAACCCUGAUGCAGCGACGCCGCGUGAGUGAAGAAGUAUUUCGGUAUGUAAAGCUCUAUCAGCAGGGAAGAAAAUGACGGUACCUGAUUAAGAAGCCCCGGCUAACUACGUGCCAGCAGCCGCGGUAAUACGUAGGGGGCAAGCGUUAUCCGGAUUUACUGGGUGUAAAGGGAGCGUAGACGGUGAUGCAAGUCAGAAGUGAAAGCCCGGGGCUCAACUCCGGGACUGCUUUUGAAACUGUGUAACUGGAGUGCAGGAGAGGGAAGCGGAAUUCCUGGUGUAGCGGUGAAAUGCGUAGAUAUCAGGAGGAACACCAGUGGCGAAGGCGGCCUACUGGACGGUGACUGACGCUGAGGCUCGAAAGCGUGGGGAGCAAACAGGAUUAGAUACCCCGGUAAAU
rnacentral:rRNA from 1 species